rnacentral:rRNA from 1 species
CUACGGGGGGCUGCAGUGGGGGAUAUUGCACAAUGGGCGAAAGCCUGAUGCAGCAACGCCGCGUGAAGGAAGACGGUUUUCGGAUCGUAAACUUCUAUCAGCAGGGAAGAAAAAAGACUGUACCUGACUAAGAAGCCCCGGCUAACUACAUGCCAGCAGCCGCGGUAAUACGUAGGGGGCAAGCGUUAUCCGGAUUUACUGGGUGUAAAGGGUACGUAGGCGGUUUAUUAAGUCAGAUGUGAAAGCCCGGAGCUCAACUCCGGGACUGCAGUUGAAACUGGUGAACUCGAGUACAGGAGAGGUAAGUGGAAUUCCUAGUGUAGCGGUGAAAUGCGUAGAUAUUAGGAAGAACACCAGUGGCGAAGGCGACUUACUGGACUGUAACUGACGCUGAGGUACGAAAGCGUGGGGAGCGAACAGGAUUAGAUACCCCAGUAGUC